rnacentral:rRNA from 1 species
UACAGAGUUUCUAACUCACAACCCAUCGUGAACAUACCUUUGUUGCUUCGGCGCGCUUCACGGCCGCCGAAGACCCUAAACUCUUGUUUUUACAUGUGUUACUCUGAGUAAUUCUUGAAAUAAAUCAAAACCUUCAACAACGGAUCUCUUGGCUCUGGCAUCGAUGAAGAACGCAGCGAAAUGCGAAAAGUAAUGUGAAUUGCAGAAUUCAGUGAAUCAUCGAAUCUUUGAACGCACAUUGCGCCCGCUGGUACUCCGGCGGGCACGCCUGUCCGAGCGUCAUUUCAACCCUCAAGCCCUCCUUCGGGAUGGGCCUGGUGUUGGGGCUCGGCCGCCAUCUCCGGCGGCCGUCCCCUAAAUACAGUGGCGGUCACGUCGCGACUCCUUUGCGUAGUAGAAACACCUCGCUCCGGAUAGCAACGCGGUCCACGCCGUAAAACCCCCAAUUUUCAAUGGUUGACCUCGGAUCAGGUGGGAAUACCCGCUGAACUUAAGCAUAUCAAUAAGCGGAGGAAAAGAAACCAACAGGGAUUGCCUCAGUAACGGCGAGUGAAGCGGCAACAGCUCAAAUUUGAAAUCUGGCCCUUGGGUCCGAAUUGUAAUUUGCAGAGGAUGCUUUUGGCGAGGUGCCUUCCGAGUUCCCUGGAACGGGACGCCACAGAGGGUGAGAGCCCCGUCC